rnacentral:rRNA from 1 species
UAAUACCGCAUACGUCCUACGGGAGAAAGCAGGGGACCUUCGGGCCUUGCGCUAUCAGAUGAGCCUAGGUCGGAUUAGCUAGUUGGUGAGGUAAUGGCUCACCAAGGCUACGAUCCGUAACUGGUCUGAGAGGAUGAUCAGUCACACUGGAACUGAGACACGGUCCAGACUCCUACGGGAGGCAGCAGUGGGGAAUAUUGGACAAUGGGCGAAAGCCUGAUCCUGCAGGGCCGCGUGGUGAAGAAGGUCUUCGGA